GACUUGCGGAGGGAGCUCUCUUUAGUCCACCUAUGGUUGGUGUCUAGGGGUCGAAUUAUCUGCCGACUCAUUCAUUCAAAUAAUUGGUAGAAAGGCCGUGAUUUUUCUCUCUACUCUUUAAAUUUGUGAAUGAUGCGGGAGAUAAAUUUCACCCUUGCCUCACCAUUCUUGGACUGAAGGGAGCUCCCUCUCUCUCUCUC
rfam:Amborella trichopoda AMTR_V1.0_contig_25960, whole genome shotgun sequence.